rnacentral:lncRNA from 1 species
GGUCGCAGCCAGGUGAGGAGCAGGCUGGGUCCCCAGGCUGGCGUCUACCUGGCUCUCCCUCCAGGGCCACGGGGUCCCCAGGCUUCCCUCCCAACUAAACAGAAAACAGCGCACAUCUGUCAUGGGUCCGGGAGACCCUCAGACCUAAAAAUGGCGAGGUCCUGCUGUCCACCUGAACGGACCACGGCGGCGUGGGCGAGAGACGAGGCCAGGACGCCUCACCUGAGAACAUGCCGCCAGGCCCCUCCUGACCUCGCUGAGAUGGAGGAAGCCAAGGAAGCCGAGACUGCAGUCCUGCAGGUCGUGGAAGGCCCCUUCGCUCUGACUUCACUCCGACCACCCACUGCUCCAGCCCCUCCUGACUCUGGAGAAAAGAGGUGACCGAGACUGAGCGUGAACGGACCAUCUGCUGAAUUUUUGGUGCCCUUUGCUGUUUUACACAUGAAGUAAGUGCCUUCAUGACAGUAAUCCGGCCACCCCUGCCUUGUGAUGAGGCUACUUCACUGUAAAACCUUGGCUCAAAGAGGUUAGAACGCUUGUUCAGGUCGCUCCGAGGGCAAGAGGGUCUCAGAUUUCCACCCGGACAGUGGCCUUAAACAUAAAGAUGAACGCUCUUGCCCAGACUGUAGCG